GCGCCGUUGGUGUAGUGGUUAGCAUUGAAGCCUUCCAAGCUUUAGUGCGGGGUUCGAAUCCCCGAUGGCGCA
rnacentral:tRNA from 1 species